rnacentral:rRNA from 1 species
ACGCUCGACACCUACGGGAGGCAGCAGUUGGGAAUAUUGGACAAUGGAGGAAACUCUGAUCCAGUGACGCCGCGUGAAGGAAGAAGGUCUUCGGAUUGUAAACUUAUUUUGUCAGGGAAGAAAAAAUGACUGUACCUGAAGAAAAAGCACCGGCUAACUACGUGCCAGCAGCUGCGGUAAUCUGAGCGGGCUGGCAAGGC